GAGAGUUGGCUGGUCCUCUUGGUGGGAGCUUUUAAUAGCUGGUGUAGCCUAACUAGCUUCUUUCGAAGAUUGCAGAAGAGGAGUCCUACUCAGGCAGAAAUUGGGACUUUUGCCUCGAUUCGGGCCACUCGAGCCCCUUUUCAAUCCAAGCUAUAGGCCAAAGUUCAGGUUGUGACCCAAAUUAAACACCAAGCUGGUUAAGUGGACCAAAACCAAUUCACUCCAGGCUAGAUAUUUUAGAUGGUCUCAAAAUUCACCAUGAUAAUCCCA
rnacentral:lncRNA from 1 species